UACGUAGGGCGCGAGCGUUGUCCGGAAUCAUUGGGCGUAAAGGGCGCGUAGGUGGCCCGGUCAGCGUGCGGUGAAAGCUCGGGGCUCAACCCCGAGUCGGCCGUGCGAACUGCUGGGCUCGAGCACUGUAGAGGCAGGCGGAAUUCCGGGUGUAGCGGUGGAAUGCGUAGAGAUCCGGAAGAACACCGGUGGCGAAGGCGGCCUGCUGGGCAGUGGCUGACACUGAGGCGCGACAGCGUGGGGAGCAAACAGG
rnacentral:rRNA from 1 species